rnacentral:rRNA from 1 species
ACCAGACUCCUACGGGAGGCAGCAGUGGGGAAUAUUGCACAAUGGGGGAAACCCUGAUGCAGCAACGCCGCGUGAGUGAUGACGGCAUUCGGGUUGUAAAGCUCUGUCUUCAGGGACGAUAAUGACGGUACCUGAGGAGGAAGCCACGGCUAACUACGUGCCAGCAGCCGCGGUAAUACGUAGGUGGCGAGCGUUGUCCGGAUUUACUGGGCGUAAAGGGAGCGUAGGCGGACUUUUAAGUGAGAUGUGAAAUACUCGGGCUCAACUUGAGUGCUGCAUUUCAAACUGGAAGUCUGGAGUGCAGGAGAGGAGAAUGGAAUUCCUAGUGUAGCGGUGAAAUGCGUAGAGAUUAGGAAGAACCCCAGUGGCGAAGGCGAUUCUCUGGCCUGUACCUGACGCUGAGGCGCGAAAGCGUGGGUAGCGAACGGGAUUAGAUACCCCGGUAA